CGACAGAAAGUUCAUUGAAGCUUCACAUUUGUCUUUCUGGUUUCUAGUCGCAGUGAAUGUGGAAGACAGGAAAAGGAAUCGGAUGUUAAUCCUGCUCAGCGAACUACUAGAUUCGUACUUCCAAACCGCCGGCUUAUAACCUGUUAAGCACGCAGGAAAACCAUAUACUGUAUGAACAUAACAUAAAAAAAUAGGGUUUUCCCUAGUCUGACCAACAUCUUCCUACUGCCCGCCUAAAGAUUUAACAGCCGGUGUCAUCUCUCCUGCGACAGCCACGAGCAAUGGUCCAUCCAGAGGUUCCUCACCGUACCAUCACCGAUAUGACUUGGAAUCUGGUGUAAGCCAUGGAAGGGGAUGUGAAGAAGACGAUGCUGAAUGUUCCUCAGACCCCUUUGAUACGAAGACUAGCAAGAACGCUUCCUUGGAACGACUCAAGUGAUGGAGGAUUUUUACUGUGUACAAGGCUACCAAGAACGCUUCCUUGGAACGACUCAAGCGAUGGAGGACUACCAAGAACGCUUCCUUGGAACGACUCAAGCGAUGGAGGCAAGUGGCUCUUGUGCUUAAUGCUUCUCGCCGAUUCCGAUACACUUUGGACUUGAAAAAAGGAAGAGGAGAAAGAGCAAAUGAGAAGGAAGGUUAGAGCACAUGCGCAAGUCAUUCGAGCGGCAUUUCUUUUCAGAGAGGCUGGGGAACGAGUAAAUGGGUAGGUAUUAAGGAGGGCUGGUAUGAUAGGGGAAGCAUUGCCUUCGCUGUUCUUCUUGUUAUCGUUGUUACAGAAGCUGCAUAAUGUUCUGAUGGACAUAAAUAGAGCUAAUAAAGAGUCUGGACAUGGGAAUAUUCAGGUUCUUUUAUGGUUAGGCCCUUCUACAAUCAUCCAGCUGUACUAACAGGAAGGGUAUUCCAUUACAACAAAGUUUGGGGUGUUGCAGUUCCAUCCAUGAUAGCAAUUUUUUGUUUGUACUGCAACUUGAAACAAGAUUCUUAAAGGGAACAAAACUGCUCCUUGUGCUUCCAUUGAAUCUUCAUCAGAUUAUCAGUCGAGGACCCAUUUAGAGUUAGCUUUUAAAAUCAAUAUUAUGCCUACUAGUAAAGUUGGUUUGAAUGUUUUGUUUU